AAUUACUGAACUUGUUAUUGUUGCUGCUGGUAUCAUCGGUGCUUAUGCUACUGUUCACGUUUGGAAAUCUAUUACGAGGGCUUUCACUCAACUUCAUCAUCUACAUAUGAUUGCAAACAGGAAUGCAUCUCUAUGGAAUGAUGCUUGGAUGGAAAAGGGGCUGCUGGGAUCUCUUUUUGUCAUUAUCAGUGAUGCUGACCUUAGGUUAAGAGACGUGUCGAGGGGUGGAUCUUUCAGUAGGCUGUCGACUAACAUCCCAAAGCUUAUCAAGCUCAAUGUCAUGGCAAUUCCAGUCCCUACUUUUCUAGCUCUGGUGAUGUUAUUAUGCGGGCAGCUAGAAUGACAUCUCUGCAUCGGCUUUCGAAUAGAAUGAGGGACCUGCAGCAUCACGAGAACUGGAAUUGGGUUUGGAAGUUGACGGCUCCAGAGAAAAUUAGAAUGUUCUUUUAGCUCUAGUGAUCCAGUUGAACCACACUUCGAGAGAAGCUGAUUUUCUUGCCAGGAGAGGUACUCAGAGUGAGAUUUGUCCUCGUGUUGAUUGGGUGCCGGGUGCCAGUAACCGUAGAGAUGAUUCCUUUCGUUGUUUUUCAAAAUCCACUGCACCAAAAUAGAAUUAUUUUCCCCUUUCUUUGCUUAUAAAAUAUGUUCCAUUGAGAAGAGUUUUUUUUAAAUGAGUCAAAUA